rnacentral:rRNA from 1 species
GUCCACGCCCUAACGAUGUCAACUAGGUGUUGGGUGGGUAAACCAUUUAGUACCGGAGCUAACGCGUGAAGUUGACCGCCUGGGAGUACGGCCGCAAGGUUAAACUCAAAGGAAUUGACGGGACCCGCACAAGCGGUGGAUGAUGUGGAUUAAUUCGAUGCAACGCGAAACCUUACCUACCCUUGACAUGUUCAGAAGCCUGAAGAGAUUUGGGUGUGCCCGAAAGGGAACUGGAACACAGGUGCUGCAUGGCUGUCGU